AUGGUGUAUGAAGGAGUGAAAGAUAGAUGGGUGUGGGUAGAAGGGAGUGUGGAUGGAUACACGCUUAAAGAAGCUUAUAGAGCCAUUAUAUCCAAGUUACCUUUUGAUCCUAAUCGAAAUCUUGUAAGAGCUUGGCAUAAAUCAAUUCCCCCAAAAGUGUCUUUGUUCGCUUGGAGAGUCUUUCAUGAUAGAAUUGCUUCUAAAAUUGACCUAGCUAGGAGAGGAGUGUUUUCAUAA